rnacentral:tRNA from 1 species
GGCACAGUGGCCUAAUGGCUAGCGCGCUGGACUCCGGACCGAGCGGUCUGGGUUCGAGCCCUGGCCGGGUCA